rnacentral:rRNA from 1 species
UAAGAUCAAAAUGUAACUAAGCUGUCAUAAGCAAAAGAUACACUUAAGACCAACCUUAAAACGAUCUUAGAGUAUCGAUUAAUUAAACCCCACGAAAGCUAAGGCCCAAACUGGGAUUAGAUACCCCACUAUGCCUAGCCCUAAAUCUUGAUGCUUACUCCACUCAAGCAUCCGCCCGAGAACUACGAGCACAAACGCUUAAAACUCUAAGGACUUGGCGGUGCCCCAAACCCACCUAGAGGAGCCUGUUCUAUAAUCGAUAACCCACGAUACACCCAACCACUCCUAGCCAAAGCAGCCUACAUACCGCCGUCGCCAGCCCACCUCCAAUGAGAGCACAAUAGUGAGCGUAAUAACCACAUAAUCGUUAACAAGACAGGUCAAGGUAUAGCCCAUGGAGUGGAAGAAAUGGGCUACAUUUUCUAAGAUAGAAAACCACGAAAGAGGGUAUGAAACAACCCCCAGAAGGUGGAUUUAGCAGUAAAGUGGGACAAUAAAGCCCUCUUUAAGUUGGCCCUGAGGCACGUACAUACCGCCCGUCACCCUCC